rnacentral:rRNA from 1 species
GACGAACGCUGGCGGCGUGCCUAAUACAUGCAAGUCGAACGCAGUGGGGACGGGUGCGUAACACGUGGGUAACCUCCCAUCAGAGGGGAUAACACUUGGAAACCAGUGCUAAACCGAUAAUGCAGGAUGGACCCGCGGUGGCUUAGCUAGUUGGUGAGGUAACGGCUCACCAAGGCCACGAUGCUUAGCCGCACUGAUAGGGUGAUCGGCCAUACUGGGACUGAGACACGGCCCAGACUCCUACGGGAGGCAGCAGUAGGGAAGCUUCUGCAAUGGACGAAAGUCUGACCGAGCAACGCCGCGUGAGUGAAGAAGGGUUUCGGAUCGUAAAACUCUGGUGGUAGAGAAGCGGUAUCUAACCAGAAAGCCACGGCUAACUACGUGCCAGCAGCCGCGGUAAUAC